GUCUACGGCCAUGCCACCCUGAACGUGCCCAAUCUUGUCUGAUCUCAGAAGCUAAGCAGGGUCGGGCCUGGUUAGUACUUGGAUGGGAGACCACCUUGGAAUACCAGGUGCUGUAGGUG
rnacentral:rRNA from 1 species